GGUGAACCUGCGGAAGGAUCAUUACAGUAUUCUUUUUGCCNUCGCUUAAUUGCGCGGCGAAAAAAACCUUACACACAGUGUUUUUUGUUAUUACAAGAACUUUUGCUUUGGUCUGGACUAGAAAUAGUUUGGGCCAGAGGUUUACUGAACUAAACUUCAAUAUUUAUAUUGAAUUGUUAUUUAUUUAAUUGUCAAUUUGGUGAUUAAAUUCAAAAAAUCUUCAAAACUUUCAACAACGGAUCUCUUGGUUCUCGCAUCGAUGAAGAACGCAGCGAAAUGCGAUAAUUAAUAUUAAUUGCASAUUUUCGUGAAUCAUCGAAUCUUUGAACGCACAUUGCGCCCUCUGGUAUUCCAGAGGGCAUGCCUGUUAGAGCGUCAUUUCUCUCCCAAACCUUCGGGUUUGGUAUCGAGUGAUACUCUUAGUUGACCUAGGCGCCUGCUUGAAAAGUAUUGGCAUGAGUGGUACUGGAUAGUGCUAUAUGACUUUCAAUUUAUUAGGUUUAUCCAACUCGUUGAAUAGUUUAAUGGAAUAUUUCUCGGUAUUCUAGGCUCGGCCUUACAAUAUAACAAACAAGUUUGACCUCAAAUCAGG
rnacentral:rRNA from 1 species